UCUAUCUGUCUAUCCAUCCAUCCAGAGAGAUUUUCAAGCAUUGAGAAGUUUUAUAAAAAAUAGCUUCCAAAGCUUAAUUUAAGAAAGUGAAGUUUCUUCUGCAAGAAGAAGAGGACCUUAUAAAAUUGGAUUCUUAAGAAUUGGCAUUUAAGGAUUCCCAGAGGAAAGCUAGAUCCUGUACCAGAGAUUUUUGUAGACCAGGGGUGUCAAACUGCCAGCCUGUGAGCCAGUUGCAUCAUGUGAAGACCGUGCCCACCCAGCUCCGGCAAUGCAAAAAAAGUCACGAUAUGUCACAACAUGUCAUGUGACACGAGCAAAGCAUAUGCUACUUGGGAGACGUUGGGAGAGAGGACAUAAAACAAAUGGAGUUCAUGAAUAUACAAUUUUUAUUGUACACAGAAGCAAUAUCCAAACUUCAGAGAAUAGAACUGAGGCCUUUGAACUAUGGUGCUGGAGAAGACUCCUGCG